rnacentral:rRNA from 1 species
GGACCCGCACAAGCGGUGGAGUAUGUGGUUUAAUUCGAUGCAACACGAAGAACCUUACCAGGGUUUGAAAUCAUUUCAAAACUCCUUGAAAGAGGAGCCUCCUUCGGGAUGAAAUGACAGGUGGUGCAUGGCUGUCGUCAGCUCGUGUUGUGAAAUGUCGAGUUAAGUCUCGUAACGAGCGCAACCCAUGUCUCUUGUUGCUCACUGAGUGCUUAAGAGAGACUGCCGACCAACAUCGGAGGAAGGUGUGGAUGAUGUCAAGUCAGCAUGCCCCUUACAUCCUGGGCUACACACGUACUACAAUGCUACGGACAAAGGGCAGCAAGUUCGCGAGGAC